GACGUACUGCGCGAACGUUAUUCGGAAUCACUGGGCUUAAAGAGUUCGUAGGCGGCUCAGAAAGUUGGGUGUGAAAUCCCUCGGCUCAACCGAGGAAUUGCGCUCAAAACUACUGAGCUAGAGGGAGAUAGAGGUGAGCGGAACUGAUGGUGGAGCGGUGAAAUGCGUUGAUAUCAUCAGGAACACCGGAGGCGAAGGCGGCUCACUGGGUCUUUCCUGACGCUGAGGAACGAAAGCUAGGGGAGCGAACGGG
rnacentral:rRNA from 1 species